GACGAACGCUGGCGGCGUGCUUAACACAUGCAAGUCGUACGGUAAGGCCCUUUCGGGGGUACACGAGUGGCGAACGGGUGAGUAACACGUGAGUAACCUGCCCACAACUUUGGGAUAACGCUAGGAAACUGGUGCUAAUACUGGAUAUGUGCUCCUGCUGCAUGGUGGGGGUUGGAAAGCUCCGGCGGUUGUGGAUGGACUCGCGGCCUAUCAGCUUGUUGGUGGGGUAGUGGCCUACCAAGGCGGCGACGGGUAGCCGGCCUGAGAGGGUGACCGGCCACAUUGGGACUGAGAUACGGCCCAGACUCCUACGGGAGGCAGCAGUGGGGAAUAUUGCACAAUGGGCGCAAGCCUGAUGCAGCAACGCCGCGUGCGGGAUGACGGCCUUAGGGUUGUAAACCGCUUUCAGCAGGGACGAAGCUUUUUGUGACGGUACCUGCAGAAGAAGCACCGGGUAACUACGUG
rnacentral:rRNA from 1 species